rnacentral:tRNA from 1 species
GCGAAGGUGGCGGAACCGGCAGACGCGCUGGAUUUAGGAUCCAGUACCUCAAGCGAGGUAUGGGGGUUCGAGUCCCCCCCUUCGCACCA